GAUCCUGGCUCAGGACGAACGCUGGCGGCGCGCCUAACACAUGCAAGUCGAACGAGAGAGAAGGAGCUUGCUUCUUCGAUCGAGUGGCGAACGGGUGAGUAACGCGUGAGGAACCUACCUCAAAGAGGGGGACAACAGUUGGAAACGACUGCUAAUACCGCAUAAGCCCACGGGUCGGCAUCGACCUGAGGGAAAAGGAGCAAUCCGCUUUGAGACGGCCUCGCGUCCGAUUAGCUAGUUGGUGAGG
rnacentral:rRNA from 1 species